UGGGGAAUAUUGGACAAUGGGCGCAAGCCUGAUCCAGCCACGCCGCGUGAGUGAUGAAGGCCUUCGGGUUGUAAACCGCUUUUGUCAGGGAAGAAACGAGUUUCUCUAAUACAGAGACUUAAUGACGGUACCUGAAGAAUAAGCACCGGCUAACUACGUGCCAGCAGCCGCGGUAAUACGUAGGGUGCAAGCGUUAAUCGGAAUUACUGGGCGUAAAGCGUGCGCAGGCGGUUAUGCAAGACAGAGGUGAAAUCCCCGGGCUCAACCUGGGAACUGCCUUUGUGACCGCAUAAAUAGAGUACGGCAGAGGGAGGUGGAAUUCCGCGUGUAGCAGUGAAAUGCGUAGAUAUGCGGAGGAACACCGAUGGCGAAGGCGGCCUCCUGGGCCAGUACUGACGCUCAUGCACGAAAGCGUGGGGAGCAAACA
rnacentral:rRNA from 1 species